GCAGAUAUAGUUCAUUGGUAGAACAUCAGCUUCCCAAGCUGAGGGGCGGGGCGAUUUCCGUUAUUUGCU
rnacentral:tRNA from 2 species